rnacentral:lncRNA from 1 species
GGGAUACAAGUUUAGAAGCCUGAAGUUGUCUCUGAACUGACAGGAAAAUGUGGGGAAGUCCUUCUUACUACCAGGUUCCUGUGAAUCCACCUCCUGUCUAGAGAAAUCAUAAAGGAAUAAAUGCCAUAGCCAUGAAAGGAACAAACCCUCACUUUGGAGUCAAAAGAGAUAAGCAAAACAAAUCUUGUUUCUGAUGUUUACUGACUGUGUAAUCUUGGGAAGUCUCUUAACCUCUUAUGCUUUUUAAUGUCUUAUCUAUGAAAUGAGAUUUUUAAGUUAAUGACCUCUGAAAUCCCUUGCAUAUUUAAUUCUGUACUCCUAUGAUUAUCUAGCC